UAUUAUUAUUAUUAUUAUUAUUUAAUGUCUACACUUAUAUCUAGCAACACAAGCUAAUUCCUGUUAUCACUUGGAUUAUAGCAGCUGUAACUCAUUCCUUCACAGACUGUUCUGAAGACUUUUCCAAGUCGACCAACUUUCCUCCAGCUUUACUUCUCACUUAAAACUGUUAAAUAAACUUCUCCUUACAGGCAAAUUCACCAGAGUCUGUCUUUGUGAAUGAGUUGUUUCUAUAGUAACGAUGAAUACAACCAGAGAAACAGAGCUGCUGAUGUGAAAAUGAAUAAAAACCAAUCGGCCAAUCAGAACCGAGAAUUGAACAGGGCUGGGGAUAUAAGCGAAGGAUCAGUUCAAGAUUUACUUCAAAUGUACUUCUAAGGAGUGGAUAUUGACCGUAGUAUGCUCAUAUAGGGAAGAGGUGAGAUGUGGUUGCUCAGUGGUUAACUUUCAGAAGGUCAUGAGGUCAAAUUUAUUUCCACGUGAAUGUAAAUGUAUGAACGAAACCUUUAGCAGUAGUCUUACAUCUGGUGUGAGACGGAGCUGUGUGGACGUGGACGUGGUGCUUUGAGGUGAUUCGAGUGGAAGAAUGGUGCAGCCCUUAUUGGCUCAUCUGCAUAGGCCGUUUGUUGUGAGGUUGCCAUAGCACUUUCACAAACAAGGCAACAUCUGCCGAGCGGCGCACGCACACAGAGGCGACGUUGUGUUGGGAGAACCGGGACGGCACAAACACCGCCGCUGUCCACCGUUUAUAGAAAAGCUCGGGGUGGAGAACACACUGGGGGAUUCAGCAGACCGAUGGCGCAAUGCAGCCAGGAAUUUUAUUGUACAACAUCUGACAGAACUACAUUCUCAACAUUGUUCUCUCCACAGAGCGCUGUGUUCCGUCUAGAACCUUCCUCUGGGCUGUCGAACCCAAACACAAUGUUCUACAAUAAACUGUUCCUCUUUAUAAAUAAAUACUAGCAUUAGCAUUAUUCAAAAAGCCUCCAGUAGUGGGAUCCUGUGCUCUCGUUGCCACCGCCCAGGGUUCGAGCCCCGGGCAGGGCGCUAACCCAGCCAAUGAAGAGUUAACUCUCAGUGCCGGUCUCAAGCCCGGAUUAAAUGGGAGGAUUGCGUCCGGUGUAAAAACCUGUGCCAAAUUAAAGCGUGCGGACUUGAUGACCCCAAACAGGGAUCCGCUGAAAGAACAACAGCAUUAACAUUAUUCAAAAACUAAAAUCGUAGAACUUAGGGUUCCUGGAAACACAGGGUUCAUAUUAGAAACAUUAGAGUUAAAUCUAGCAUCUAAGAAUAGUUCGUCCCUUUAAAGGAAGCCUGGAAGGUUGUAUUUCUCCGUGCAAAGGAACCUUCUUCGGAUCUUUAUGUAAAAGAGACAUCUUCAAUGAUUCAAAAACCCCAGAGAAAGUUCUAGUGCAAAACUUUAUUUUUUAUCUUAAAGGAGAUAUGAUUAUCUGAAAACAAUUCUGCUUGGACUUUGGUCUGACCAGGAUGCACUUUGUUGUGAGGUUCCUCUAGGAUCCAGACCUCCAGAGAAACAUGCUAAAGGCUCCUUUAAGGUUAAGAACCCCGAGAACCCUGAACUACUCAAUAAAACCUGGAGGAUCCAAAUUCCUCAAGACUCUCCUUGUAAAUCUUUAAGGAUAUUAAUAGAAUCUGGAGAACCUUUGUCGUUGUAUGUUGUAGAAUUAAACUUUUUCUUCCCCACGCUCUUGAUAAUAGAACCUUAGAGUGAUUUUAUCACCUGCUUCAUAUACGGAACCCCAGAAUGGUUCUUUAUAUAGAAACCUUGAGAGGAUCCAGGCUCCAAAGGGGAACCUCAUCCUCAUUUGGGUGCCGCUGGACAGUAAAUAAAGUAACUGUAACUGAUUAAUGUCCCUUGUACAACAGCAACCAAGGGCCCAUGAGGAAUUAUCAGGUCAGUGCAGUUUCUCAGUUCAUUAUAGACUCAUUAUAGACAUUCUAAUGGAUUAUAGAAUAAUAAAAGAUUCAUUGCCCUCCAAUGGUUCUGUAAAGAAUAAUUUCUUUUUGGUGGGGGGGGGCGGUUCUAUUGCCCAAUUACAGUAGCCUAGGAUUCUAAAUAAAUCUCUAAGGAAUCUCUUUAUUUCAAAGAGAGUAGGUGUAAAAGCAGCUCAGGAUCCUCCAGACAGACAAUAUUGUCAAAGAUGCACCAUUUACUGCAGCAAAGAACCCCCUGAUAUCUUUCUUAAACCAUUUUUGAAGUAAAAAAUUAUUAUUUACCUUUCAGAACUUUUUUUUUCCACAAUUAAUGCCUUUAAUGCCUGACCUGUGUAAAAACAAUUAAUUCCACAGAUGCAUUUUCUGUCACUUUGUAAAUGUCAAGCAUUUAAGCAAGAACAGGAAUAAAAAGUCUGAGGAGACGAAUUAGUCGUAACGUUAAUUUUUUUUCUGAAAUAAAAUUCUGAUAAUAAUAAUGUCACACAGGACCACGUGCCUGCCUUCGGAUCCACGCUCGUCUCGUUCUCCUUAUUAGCGAGCGCAU